AUUGAACGCUGGCGGCAUGCCUUACACAUGCAAGUCGAACGCGAAAGGGGGCAACCCCGAGUAGAGUGGCGAACGGGUGAGCAAUACAUCGGAACACGUCCUGUAGCGGGGGACAACCUCGAGAAAUCGAGGCUAAUACCGCAUACGAUCUACGGAUGAAAGUGGGGGACCGCAAGGCCCCACACUAUAGGAGUGGCCGAUGCCGGAUUAGCUAGUUGGCGGGGUAAUAGCCCACCAAGGCUACGAUCCGUAGCUGGUUUGAGAGAACGACCAGCCACACUGGGACUGAGACACGGCCCAGACUCCUACGGGAGGCAGCGGUGGGGAAUUUUGGACAAUGGGCGAAAGCCUGAUCCAGCCAUGCCGCGUGAGCGAAGAAGGCCUUCGGGUUGUAAAGCUCUUUCGGCGGGGACGAAAUGGCGCGGGGUAACAUCCCGCGUCGAUGACGGUACCCGAAGAAGAAGGACCGGCUAACUACGUGCCAGCCGCCGCCGUAAGAC
rnacentral:rRNA from 1 species